GAGUUUGAUCGUGGCUCAGAACGAACGCUGGCGGCAUGCCUAACACAUGCAAGUCGAACGAGAUCUUCGGAUCUAGUGGCGCACGGGUGCGUAACGCGUGGGAAUCUGCCCUUGGGUGCGGAAUAACUUCUCGAAAGGGAUGCUAAUACCGCAUAAUGUCGUAAGACCAAAGAUUUAUCGCCCAAGGAUGAGCCCGCGUAAGAUUAGCUAGUUGGUGGGGUAAAAGCCUACCAAGGCGACGAUCUUUAGCUGGUCUGAGAGGAUGAUCAGCCACACUGGGACUGAGACACGGCCCAGACUCCUACGGGAGGCAGCAGUGGGGAAUAUUGGACAAUGGGCGAAAGCCUGAUCCAGCAAUGCCGCGUGAGUGAUGAAGGCCCUAGGGUUGUAAAGCUCUUUUACCCGGAUGAUAAUGACAGUACCGGGAGAAUAAGCUCCGGCUAACUCCGUGCCAGCCGCCGCA
rnacentral:rRNA from 1 species